rnacentral:rRNA from 1 species
GACGAACGCUGGCGGCGUGCUUAACACAUGCAAGUCGAGCGGUAAGGCCCUUUCGGGGGUACACGAGCGGCGAACGGGUGAGUAACACGUGGGUGACCUGCCCUCAGCUCUGGGAUAAGCCUGGGAAACCGGUCUAAUACCGGAUAUGACUCCAUGACGCAUGUUGUGGGGUGAAAGCCUUGUGCGGCUGAGGAUGGGCCCGCGGCCUAUCAGC